rnacentral:tmRNA from 1 species
GGGGGUGCCCUGGUUUCGACAGGGAUAAAGGGGAUUGCUGAUGCAUGCCGAGAAGAUUACCUACUCGUUAAUCACGGUGAUAAACUAAUUAAACGCAAACGAUAACUUUGCACUAGCAGCUUAGUUCUGCUACGGUCCUGCCAGACUUUGUUGUUAAGUCGGCAGAUCACCGCCAUAAUUAGCAACUAUAGACGGCAGAUGCCUAUAAUGUCGUCCGAAAACUUUUAGGCUGGCUUUCCAGUUUGGUUUGACUGUUUCCCAUCGGGAAAGUAAGAUUAAAAAUAGCUAAGCAUGUAGAUUUGGCUUUUGACUUAUCUUUGGACGCGGGUUCGAUUCCCGCCACCUCCACCA